rnacentral:rRNA from 1 species
AUGCGGGAGCAGACUAACAGGAUUCCCCUAGUAACUGCGAGUGAAGCGGGAAAAGCUCAAAUUUAAAAUCUGGCGGUUUUGGCCGUCCGAGUUGUAGUCUGGAGAAGUGCUUUCCGCGCCGGACCGUGUACAAGUCUCCUGGAACGGAGCGUCAUAGAGGGUGAGAAUCCCGUCUUUGACACGGACUACCGGUGCUUUGUGAUGCGCUCUCAAAGAGUCGAGUUGUUUGGGAAUGCAGCUCAAAAUGGGUGGUGAAUUCCAUCUAAAGCUAAAUAUUGGCGAGAGACCGAUAGCGAACAAGUACCGUGAGGGAAAGAUGAAAAGCACUUUGGAAAGAGAGUUAAACAGUACGUGAAAUUGCUGAAAGGGAAACGAUUGAAGUCAGUCGCGUCGUCCGGAACUCAGCCUUGCCUCGGCUUGGUGCACUUUCCGGUUGACGGGCCAGCAUCGAUUUUGACCGGCGGAUAAAGGUUCGAGGAAUGUGGCACCCUCGGGUGUGUUAUAGCCUCGGAUUGUAUACGUCGGUUGGGAUCGAGGAACUCAGCUUCGGCUUAGGAUGCUGGCGUAAUGGCUUUAAACGACCCGUCUUGAAACACGGACCAAGGAGUCUAACAUGCCCGCGAGUGUUUGGGUGGUAAACCCAGGCGCGUAAUGAAAGUGAAAGUCGAGACCUCUGUCGUGGAGGGCAUCGACGCCCGGACCUGACCUUCUGUGACGGCUCCGCGGUAGAGCGUGUAUGUUGGGACCCGAAAGAUGGUGAACUAUGCCUGAAUAGGGUGAAGCCAGAGGAAACUCUGGUGGAGGCUCGUAGCGAUUCUGACGUGCAAAUCGAUCGUCAAAUUUGGGUAUAGGGGCGAAAGACUAAUCGAACCAUCUAGUAGCUGGUUCCUGCGAGU